GACGAACGCUGGCGGCGUGCUUAACACAUGCAAGUCGAACGGAAAGGCCCUGCUUUUGUGGGGUGCUCGAGUGGCGAACGUGUGAGUAACACGUGAGUAACCUUCCCUUUACUUUGGGAUAACUUCAGGAAACUGGGGCUACUACCUGCUAGGAGCUCCUGCUGCAUGGUGGGGUUUGGAAAGUUUCGGCGGUUGGGGAUGGACUCGCGGCUUAUCAGCUUGUUGGUGGGGUAGUGGCUUACCAAGGCAUUGACGGGUAGCCGGCCUGAGAGGGUGACCGGCCACAUUGGGACUGAGAUACGGCGCAGACUGCUACGGGAGGCAGCAGGGGGGAAUAUUGCACAAUGGGCGGAAGCCUGAGGCAGAAACGCCGCGUGCGGGAUGACGGCCUUCGGGUUGUAAACCGCUUUAGCCUGUGACGAAGCGUGAGUGACGGUAAUGGGUAAAGAAGCACCGGCUAACUACGUG
rnacentral:rRNA from 1 species